rnacentral:lncRNA from 1 species
AGCUUAUUCUUCAGCCCUUAUAUCGACUCCCCGACCUUUCUUGCAGAUUGGGCAUCAGCUCGUCGCCAACGUCGAGGCGGUGAAGAUCGCCCAGAGGGAGGCAGCUCGGGCAGAAGAAGGUCGUCUAGCUGGGGCCGCCCGCCUUGAGGAGAAGAUCGUCGAGGUCCGGAGCCUCUAGGAGGCGCUGAAAAAGGAGGGACAAAUCUCGUCCGAUCUGAGGACCGCCUUGAAGGA